rnacentral:rRNA from 1 species
GUGGGGAAUAUUGCACAAUGGGGGAAACCCUGAUGCAGCCAUGCCGCGUGUGUGAAGAAGGCCUUCGGGUUGUAAAGCACUUUCAGCGAGGAGGAAAGGAUGCUGGCUAAUAUCCAGCAUCUGUGACGUUACUCACAGAAGAAGCACCGGCUAACUCCGUGCCAGCAGCCGCGGUAAUACGGAGGGUGCAAGCGUUAAUCGGAAUUACUGGGCGUAAAGCGCACGCAGGCGGUUGAUUAAGUCAGAUGUGAAAGCCCCGGGCUCAACCUGGGAAUUGCAUUUAAAACUGUCCAGCUAGAGUCUUGUAGAGGGGGGUAGAAUUCCAGGUGUAGCGGUGAAAUGCGUAGAGAUCUGGAGGAAUACCGGUGGCGAAGGCGGCCCCCUGGACAGAGACUGACGCUCAGGUGCGAAAGCGUGGGGAGCAAACAGGAUUAGAAACCCGGGUAGUCC